GUGGGGAAUAUUGCACAAUGGGCGGAAGCCUGAUGCAGCAACGCCGCGUGCGGGAUGACGGCCUUCGGGUUGUAAACCGCUUUCAGCAGGGACGAAGCGCAAGUGACGGUACCUGCAGAAGAAGCACCGGCUAACUACGUGCCAGCAGCCGCGGUGAUACGUAGGGUGCGAGCGUUGUCCGGAUUUAUUGGGCGUAAAGAGCUUGUAGGCGGUUGGUUGCGUCGAAAGUGCAAACUCAGGGCUUAACUUUGAGCCUGCUUUCGAUACGGGCUGACUGGAGGAAGGUAGGGGAGAAUGGAAUUCCCGGUGGAGCGGUGGAAUGCGCAGAUAUCGGGAGGAACACCAGUGGCGAAGGCGGUUCUCUGGACCUUUCCUGACGCUGAGAAGCGAAAGCGUGGGGAGCAAACAGGCUUAGAAACCCGAUAGUCC
rnacentral:rRNA from 1 species